CGUAAAACGCGGGUAUCCUGUACAUUCACUCCUCCAGGAGUCUGGUGCGUUGUGAUGCUCCGCCAUCUUUGAAAAGUCGAAGACAUAAAUAGUCCAGAUAAAAUCCAGAUAUUAUCCAUCAGCUCAGAAGGUGGCCCCAACUAUCUUCCAGGUGCAAGAUGUUAAGCGCUGUGCGAGUUAGCCAGCCUAAGAAGAUUUACACAUUCUGGUCCAAGUUUCUUGGUGGUUCCAUGUGGUUCUGGAUUCUAUGGCGACUGAAACAUGACUGGCCAGAGGUUGUGGGUCAUCACCAUGUUUUAAAGGAUGAGGCUGAAGGACAUCAUUAACUUGAAGACAAAAGAGUGUAAAUUGUAGCUGUGAAUAAAACUUGUUUAAAUUG